CCACAACCCGGGCCCAAAACAGAUUUUAUAACUGUGAUUGCUUCUACAUUAAUGUUCAACUGAAGUCUGUACAGGGUUGGUUUUGGCCCUUUUACACAGGAUCAUCAGCACCUAUUGUAUGAAGUGGAUGUGGUGUCACUUUAGGAAUGAUGUAGAUGGAAGAUAACUUAGUCAGGCAUACUGUCUUUCUGCCAGGGGCAAGCUGCUUCAGCAACUGGAACUAUAGCCAAGUGUCCUUCAGUGAAGCCCCACCUUCAGUAAAAAGCUAUAAUUGUUCAGCACACCUGUUCUCUCUGUUUGUGUAAUCUCUCCUCUCACUGCCAGUAAACAAAGACAUGCCUUGACCCGUCCUGGCCCUGCCCCUAGUCAUAGGCCAAAAGUCAAAAAUCACUGAAGGGAUGGGUCGGACAUUGUUCUAGGGUCAGGGAGGUUAAGGUGGAUGUGUGAAUGCUCUCCAGAAGACAAUGUUGUGUUUUGAUGCCUUAAUGGACAUGAAGUCAGGUGGUCAGGUUGACUUAGAUAGUAACCCUGUAAGGUUUCACGCCUUUGAGCCUUGGAGUACAAUAGGGGAGAAUAUACCAAACCUCGGAUCAAAUGUUUGACAACAUUUCAAAAACAUUAUCCAUGUUUGAUUGAGCUUUCCUGGGAUUAUGGAAUCAAUAAAAUCAUGAGAAGAAUUAAAACAACCUAGCCCUACCUCACAGAUACCAGGCAGAGGGGAACAAAUGCUCAAAGGAUUUGAUUUUGUGUAAUAAUUGUACAUACUUCCCUCAGAUAUGAAGGACAGGCAUUUGGCCCUCAGGACGGCAUGGGAACCCUAAGCAAUUACUGCCAUGGUCAGGAUCUGUAUUUAGCUAGAUGGCUUGUCACUUGUCAAGGCCUCAGUGGGCUUUGGAGUAGGAGCUUCAGACAGUAUCUGCAAAUAGAGCGACGUGACGCAGGGUGCAACUGGACACUACUAAGGACUACGUCCCAAAUGGCACACCGUUCCCUACAUAGUCCACUACAUUUGACCAGACCCUGAAGCCAACCCCACCAAAGCAUCAAACCUAGCCUUCUUUAACCCUUCUGUGAGAAACACAUAGACAUUAGUUGGCUCAUUAAGUGUCUAACAACCAGUCAUCUCUCAAAACACCCUACCCCUAAGCCAUCCAAGCACGGUCACAUGAUUCGCCAAUGACGAUUAAAAUGACCAAACCUAAGGCCAUCUGUGAAUCCUGGAUGUACCCGGCUUUUACGUGCAGUUUGCCGCAGCCUGCGGACAAGGUUAAAAGAAGUGCAUAAAAUAGAGAACAGGGUGCUGUGUGGGAUGUCAGCUAGGAUGUGGAGCAUGAUUCAGUAGCACCCACAUGCGCUCGCUGGGCCAUUUGUUUUGCCGCAACGGUCAGAUAGAUUGUUGUCAGAGUGUGCUGGGUACAGUACACUGACUGUCAGUUUCAGAUCAGAGGUGGUGCACAGCUGCCCACCACAGUCCAGGUUCGAUCUGGCUGAGGAUUGGCACGCAAAUGUCUGCAUUGCUCGGGGAGGACGGAAAUGGCUUUCGCACAGCAUCGCACUCUAGCGACUCACUCGAGUGGCUCUAUCCCCGCAAAGAUAACUAACGUUGUCCGGUAACAUCAAAAAAGCUACCAACCCCUGGAGUCACUGACGACAUUAUAAUGUGAGUUACUGACAUACUAUUACUGCCAUAGGGCUUUUGGCUCAAUUUAUUUUCAUUUUAGGGGGUUGCUGCAGAUAACUGACUUCUGUGGAAUAUCAACAAUUCUGUAUUAACAAGUAAAAAUACAUAAAACCUCUGUGUUAUUGGUGUGGGGAAACGCGUCAAUGCCAUUAAGACACUGUGACGGAAGUACUGCCAGUGAUAUCAGUUCAAUAGAAAUGACCACACAUUGCUGUGUUAUGACUACUUUAUUCUAUAGCCUCGUUAUUUCUAUUCUAGUUUUAUCUGUUAGACAUGGUUUGUUUAAGAACUAUAUUUGCCCUAGCUAAUUCUGUGUUUUGUUGUGUUUACACUAAAAGUAGAUUUAAAAUAUGCAAUAAUGAGGUAAAAAAGAUUCUGCAUGUGGUCAUUCUGAUAAAGAGUAAUGUUUUCCCCUUUAUAAAAAAACAUUGCUUUUUUACAGAACACAUUGUACACAGAAUUUGUUUGAUUUAUGGAUGUUUUGUGGAUAACACACAGUGCCCAGUGCAAUAAAUCACUGAGUCAGAGCAGAUUCAUAAAUUCUUUAUGAUGACAUAUUAGCAAUGUUUAUCUAAAUGCUUUGUAAUUAUUCAUUUUCAACAUGUAUGAAGGUAAUCUGUAUGCUUCUGAU
ensembl:lncRNA